rnacentral:rRNA from 1 species
UGGGGAAUAUUGCACAAUGGGGGGAACCCUGAUGCAGCGACGCCGCGUGAGUGAAGAAGUAAUUCGUUACGUAAAGCUCUAUCAGCAGGGAAGAAAAUGACGGUACCUGACUAAGAAGCCCCGGCUAACUACGUGCCAGCAGCCGCGGUAAUACGUAGGGGGCAAGCGUUAUCCGGAUUUACUGGGUGUAAAGGGAGCGUAGACGGCACUGCAAGUCCGGAGUGAAAACCCAUGGCUCAACUGUGGGACUGCUCUGGAAACUGUGGAGCUUGAGUGCGGGAGGGGCAGGCGGAAUUCCUGGUGUAGCGGUGAAAUGCGUAGAUAUCAGGAGGAACACCGGCGGCGAAGGCGGCCUGCUGGACCGUAACUGACGUUGAGGCUCGAAAGCGUGGGGAGCAAACAGG